rnacentral:rRNA from 1 species
UACAGAGACUGCAAGUGUUAUUCGGAUUCACUGGGCGUAAAGGGUGCGCAGGCGGCCAAGUGUGUUAGGCGUGAAAGCCUGGGGCUUAACCCCAGAAUUGCACCUAAAACUACAUGGCUAGAGCAUUGGAGAGGGUAGCGGAAUUCACGGUGUAGCAGUGAAAUGCGUAGAUAUCGUGAGGAACACCAGAGGCGAAGGCGGCUACCUGGACAAUUGCUGACGCUCAGGCACGAAAGCGUGGGGAGCAAAAGGG